GUUCGGGAUGAACAAGAUAGACAAGUUCAAGAGUUGCAGGAAAGUGGCAUAAUUGAACCCUCUUCUUCUAGUUGGGCAUUUCCAGUGGUCAUGUGUUUUAAACGUUCAGGUGGAUCUAUGAGAAUGGCGAUUGACUAUCGCAAGCUGAAUUCACUUUGUCUCCCUCAAUCCUUCCCCCUCCCCCACAUGGAGAGUGUCUUUGAUGCUAUUGGUGAAAACAAGGCC
rnacentral:lncRNA from 1 species